rnacentral:rRNA from 1 species
GACGAACGCUGGCGGCGCGCCUAACACAUGCAAGUCGAGCGAGAACCGGGCCUUCGGGCCCGGGGACAGCGGCGAACGGGUGAGUAACACGUGGGCAACCUGCCCUCGGCACUGGGAUAGCCCGGGGAAACCCGGAUUAAUACCGGAUAGCCUCCGGAGCCUUCGGGCGCCGGAAGAAAGGUGGCUUCGGCAUCCGGCCGAGGAGGGGCCCGCGGCGGAUUAGCUUGUUGGUGGGGUAAUGGCCCACCAAGGCGACGAUCCGUAGCUGGUCUGAGAGGACGAUCAGCCACACUGGGACUGAGACACGGCCCAGACUCCUACGGGAGGCAGCAGUGGGGAAUCUUGCGCAAUGGGCGAAAGCCUGACGCAGCGACGCCGCGUGCGGGAAGAAGGCCUUCGGGUUGUAAACCGCUUUCAGGAGGGACGAAGCCACUCGGGUGAACAGCCCAGAGGGAGACGGUACCUCCAGAAGAAGCCCCGGCUAACUACGUGCCAGCCGCCGCAGUAAGAC